GGAUGCGAUCAUACCAGCACUAACGCACCGGAUCCCAUCAGAACUCCGAAGUUAAGCAUGCUUGGGCGAGAGUAGUACUAGGAUGGGUGACCCCCUGGGAAGUCCUCGUGUUGCAUCCCU
rnacentral:rRNA from 1 species